ensembl:lncRNA
GAGAAAACAACUGUCUGUGCAGAGAAAUAUGGCAGCAGAGAUACUGGAGACAUGUUAUCUGCUUUUGUUAACGACCCUCCGGAGUCAGUUCUACCUCAAGUGUCCUCCUGCCCUGCGACACUCGGGACGAUGGAAGGAGACAAGCUCAGUCAAGAUGCAGAGGAAAGCCUCGUGGUCUGAUCAAGGCAUGGAGGGGCUGGAGUUCCCGCCAUAGAGACGGGCAGUGGGCCUCCCGCAGGAGAGGCAGCGGCCGGGCUGCUCUAUGACGUCUCGCCAGCGCGCGGGAGCAGGCGGAGUUCUGGCGGGCUGGCUACGCGGCUCACGGGUGCAGCUCACGGCGCAGGCGCAGCGCCUCAGCGCCCAGGCCCGCCGCCAUCUUGGGUGGAGCACCGAGCGCCGCGCCUCUGCGCACGGCCCCAGGCUGAGGGGCCGGGGCCGCCAUUUUGAGGCGGGAACUCUGGUCUCAGUGGCCGGGUUCACGGCCUCUGCGUGCAGCCGCCUGUGAGCCAGUGACACCAGAGGAAGCACAAAGGGAUGACGAAAAAGAUGAGCUUAUCAACAAAGCAGGUGUGGAUCCAUGGAACACCUGAAGAGAUCAAACUCAAAGCCGUGGUGAACUGCAGCUGUGACUCUCCGUGGUUACCCACUUGGCUCUCUGGGUACAGUGUUCAUGCGUUUCUGCUUGCCACCACCUGCCCCAGAGUUAAACUCGGAUGAUGCAACUGGCCAGUCCUCGGAGAUUCCUCUAGCCCAGAAUUUCUCCCCCUCAGAAUUCCUGAUGUUUUGAGCAGAUGAAUAUUCAUCAUGGCAGGCGCCAUGGGCAUUGAAGGACCUUCAGCUGCAUUCCUGCUCUCUCCCGGUCCACACAGUGAGAUAGCACACGUCUCUCCCUGAGCUGUCAAGACCAGAACAGCUCUAAGCACUGCCAAAUGUGCCCUGGGCAGGGGCAAAAUCACUGUCAGUUGAAAACCACUGUUCUAAUCCUUGCUGAAUAUUAGAAUUACCCUUGAUGCCAUCCCAAUGGAAUCAGAAUCUUUGGGCACGGACCCCAGGUGCCAGCAUUGGAAAAGCUACCCAGGGGUUUUAAACCAUAGCCCAGGUUGAGAAUUUCCAUCCUAAAGCAACUGGUCUAAUAUUGCUAUAGAGCUUCUUAAAGUCCUUCUCAGAUAUUUUUAUAACCGGGCCCUCCACUUAGCAACACAUGAGCAGCUACUACGCAGAAACAAUAUUAGCUAUAAUGUCAAGUACCAUCUCAUGGAAUUUGCAAUUUAAUGAGGUCAUGAGAGUGCGAGGGAAAUAAAUUGUUUUUCAUGUGUGAGUACGUAUGGAAAAAUACCUAGAAAAAAGACCUAAAAGAAAUGAGAAAUGAGUGCUGAUCUGUGGAAGGAGGGCAGGGGAGUUAAUAGACAGGUGGGACCUGGGGAGCUCAUCAGGGGUGAAGAGCCACACGACCUUUGAGAGGACAGGAGAGGGGUAGGGCAUUGUGAUUUUUUGAAGAGCCCAGUAUAUUUUUUAAUGAAGAGGAUUAUGAAUGCUACAGUAUAUGUUCAGCACUGAUCUUUUUUAAAUACCAGCUUUAUUAUAACACACACACCAUAAAAUUCACCAUUUCAAAGUGUACAAUCCAGUGAUUUUUAGUAUAUACACAGAAUUAUGCAAUCGACACCACUAUCAAAUUUCAAAAUAUCUUCAUCACCUUAAAAACAAACCCCAUACUCAUUAGUAGUCACCCUCCAUUUACUGCAACCACCCCAGCCCCUGGCAACCAGUAAUCUGCUUUCCGUCGUAGAUUUGCCAAUUCUGGACAUUCUGCAUCAACAGAUUCCUGUAAUAUAUGGCCAUUUGUGUCCAGCUACCUAGACAGCAUCUGAAAGCAAAGCAAAAUGAAAGGGAAAACAAAAUCUCCCUCCCAAGAGGCAGUUUAGCCUAGAGCCCAAAAGGUAGGCUUUGGCACCGGACAAAAUUUCAAAUUAAAUCAAGUCCUAACCCUCUAGCUGUUUGAUCUCAAGCAGACACCAUUGGUCGACCCCCCAACACCCUUCUCAAUGUCCAACUCUCACCAUAGAGACUGGAAAGUCUAAGUAGCAUUGUCCCAGGUCCUCCACAGUUUUGCCAAUGGAAAGUCUCAGAUAGCUCCUAGGAAGGAUAUUUCCUUCCACGGUUAGAGACGUACUGGAGGAAAACAUCGUGUCAUUUGUCCUCUCCUUCCUUCCUUCCUUCAAAGGAUGUGUGAAGGCAGGAAGCUCGGACACACGGCUGCCAUGCUGUGUCCAUGAGGGAAAGGCUGAGAAGAUCCAGAAAUGCCAGCCUAGAUUCUGAUUCUGUUGCUACAGAUCCGGUAGCAGCAACUGUCUUCUCAGUGAUUAGUUAUGCCUGGAAAAUAAGCCUUUGUAUGUCAAAGCUACUGUUACUUGGGUUUUGGUUACUGGAAGCAUCAAAUUACUGCAACAGGAAGUUACUUCACUUCUGUGCACAAGUUCACACAUUGGGGCAGAGCUCCCUCGCCUUUAUCUCAAGAACCCGCUACCAUUUGUUGAAAAUUGGUUUCUUUUUGGGAGUGUGUCUUCUUCAGGGAAGCUCAUGGGAUUUGCAUCUUGUUCUCCUUUUGCUAAGAUAUGAGCCUGUUAGUCAACCUACACUCAUCAGAAACCCCUCCCUGAAAUUUGGUUUCUGAGAUGGAAAGUUAUCAGAAUCCGUUCUUCCCAGUGGAAGCUCAGCGACUAAUGAGUCUGUUCCCAGCACAGGGCUGAUCCUGUAUUUAUCCAUGCAUGCCUCCAUCCAUUCCUUCUAAAAAUGUAUUUAUUGAGCGCCUAAUAUGUGGCUUCUCCGGUGGCUCAGCUGGUAAAGAACCUAUCUGCCAAUGCAAGAGACGCAAGAGACAUGGGUUCGAUCCCUGGGUCAGAAGGAUCUCCUGAAGGAGGAAAUGGCAACCCACUCCAGUAUUCUUGCCUGGAAAAUCCCAUGGACAGAGAAGCCUGGCACUCUGCAGUCCCUGGGGUCUCAAAGAGUUGGAUACGACAGAGUACACACACACGCAAUUUAAUAGGUGCCAGUGUGAGGACAUGGAAUUGAAAAAAUGAGACAAAUUUAAGUAGUUUAUAUCCUAAAUAGCUGGUGAAAAGUGAAGUCACUCAGUCAUGUCCAACUCUUUGUGACCCCAUGGACUGUAGCCAACCAGGCUACUCCAUCCACGGAAUUUUCCGGGCAAGAGUACUGGAGUGCGUUACCAUUUCCUUCUCCAGGGGAUCUUCCUGACCCAGGGAUCAAACCCGGGACUCCCACAUUGCAGGCAGACGCUAUACCAUCUGAGCCGCCAGGGAAGCCCCAAGUAGCUUAUGUCCUAGGACUAUAAACACAUCCCUGUCUUAUAUAACAUGAGGUGGUGAUGAGGCUGUGAAGAAAAAGUAGACUGAAGGGGAUAGAUUGUGAGAGAGAUGGGGAAAAGGUGACUUCUAUUUUGGAGGGUGAUCAGAGAAGGCCUCACUAAGGAAACUGUUUGAACAGAGAAGCUCUGGCAAAAGUGUUCCUGGCAGAAGGUAGAGCAAGUGCCAAGGCCCUGAGGCAGGAGCCUGCUGACUAUAUCUGAGAAACAGGAAGGAGGAAGUCAGCGUGGCUGGAGCAGAAGAAUGGAAUGGAGAUGCGAUUGAUGAGCAGGCAAGGGGAGAGCCAGGACCCAGAUCAAAUGGAUCAAGCCACUCACCGAAACAUGAGCAAACCGCUUCAACUUAAUCCCUCUGGCUGCUGGAUGGCGUAGCCUGAGCGGGGAAGGCAGGGAGGGCCAGCAAGGAGGCGAUGGCGGUAUUUCCGGCGAGAAAUGAUGGUGCCUAGGAUCAAGGUUGUACCCAUGGGGUGAACGGGAAGUAAUCAGAUACCAUGCCUAUUUAGAAGGUAGAGCUAACCAGGGUUUGGUAACUGGAUGUGAAGCGUGAGAAAAAUGGGAGAGGCGAGGACAGUUCCACCCUGAUGGGCUGAGGAGCCAUUUGCCGAGGGGGAGGACCACAGGAAGGACCAGAUUUUCGGUAGGCAGGGUGAUGACAGACAUGACGAGGAGGUCGUUACUGUGGGCCUCCUGGGGCUUCCUCGUGGAAAGUCUAGUCCCUCCGCUUUCCCACCAUUCAGAGCUUCCAGCAUCCUUCCAGUGAUUUGGCUGAAAUUAACCAGAGUUCGCUUCUAUUAGUUGACACUAAAACCCCUUAACUGAUAUAAGGGGCUCCCUUGGCCCUUGAGUGUUAGCACAGGAAACUAAACCCCAUUCUGACUGUGGGAACAUGUGUUCCGAGCAACAGCUAACAAAUUCACAAAUGAACUUUCGGACGCCACCCACUUCUCAGCAGGAGGCUGACUUCCUCUCCCAGUGUCUCUCCUCAGAGAGACAGCUUCUGCCAGUACAAGGUGGGGAAGUGUCAAAUACUAUUAAAACCUGAUUGCUAAUUCAAAUGCGAUUGCGCUUGAUAUGCUUGUCAUGUAAAAGUGUGCAGUGUAGCUUAAUAAAAUUGAUAGAACCCCCUUUGAAGAUAUUUUUGUCACAGAGGCACUUAAUAAGACUGUUUCCAUGAGGCUUCUCUGCCUCUUCAAUAUUUUCCUAGUGACACAUGUGAGUGAACUAGUCCAGAACCUAGCAAGGCAUGUUUCCCAAAGAAUGUUGGAGGGGAAGGGGGAGUACUCAGAGUCCUCCUCCUUCUUUCUUUUCGUUAGGAAGUUCUCUACCAACUGCCCGAUGAUACGGUUCAUCUGGUCACUGGGAAACCAAAUCAAAGCUGUUUUGCUUCAGAAUCAGACGCGAUGAAUAAAUAAUCCACAGAGGUUGCUGUCACUAACUCAAAAAUAGCUAAUUAUAAAC